rnacentral:rRNA from 1 species
CACACCGCCCGUCACACCAUGGGAGUCAGUUGCUCCAGAGACGGCCGCGCUAACCACAAGGAGGCAGGUCUUUAAGGAGUGACUGGUAACUGGGGUG